CGAAAGCCUGACGGAGCAAGACCGCGUGGGGGAAGAAGGCUCUUGGGUUGUAAACCCCUUUUCUCUGGGAAGAAAGUUGUGAAAGCAACCUGACGGUACCAGAGGAAUCAGCAUCGGCUAACUCCGUGCCAGCAGCCGCGGUAAGACGGAGGAUGCAAGCGUUAUCCGGAAUGAUUGGGCGUAAAGCGUCCGCAGGUGGCAGUUCAAGUCUGCUGUCAAAGACCGGGGCUUAACUUCGGAAAGGCAGUGGAAACUGAACAGCUAGAGUAUGGUAGGGGCAGAGGGAAUUCCUGGUGUAGCGGUGAAAUGCGUAGAGAUCAGGAAGAACAUCGGGGCGAAGGC
rnacentral:rRNA from 1 species